CCCUUAUCCAACAAGAACAAGAACAAGAAUUUGACUUCAAGAGUUACACAACUGGCUACUCACUUUGGUACACAUUAUAAUAUGGCAGUGUAAGAGCAGAGGAAUUGUGUCAUCUGGAAAUCCUGGACUACUGCUUGAAAUUGAAUGGAGAUCAUGCAUGAGUUGCAGCCAGAGCGUCCCUCGGGCGCCGACGAGCCCGACCUGCUGGAGCUGACCGCGCAGAUGGGCGAUGUCCGGAUCGGCGGCCGGCCCGUGUCGGCGCUGUUGGC
rnacentral:lncRNA from 1 species